UUUCCUUCUUCACCCAAAACAAUCAGCCUUAGCUCGGGAACAUUUACAAAAGGAACAAAAAUCCUGGUUGGGAGUCAUAUAGCGCUUUGUUAUUAGCACUUUGUAUCUCCGAAAAAAUAUAAGAUGUAACAUAAGAACCUCAUCUAUCAGCCUUUAAACCGUAGAAAAUUUACGUGAAUGUGAAAUUUAAAAGACAUUCUCGUUUUGGAUUGCCCAUGCAGUUUGUAACUGUGGUUGUGGUAAUUGACACAAAAGAUCAGAUAUAUUCAAGGAUCCUAACUGAACGGAAGUAGUUUAGUCGUGCUAAAGCUACAAAUAUGCUGCAGUAUGUGGCUAUGUGCUUGUGGCAUUUUCGUAUAUGCAAUAAAGUGGUUAUUAUUACAUAGCAAAAUGGUAUAAUAAACAAACACAUCUUAGUUCUAAAUCUGUAUAUCCCUUGGAAAGAAUGAAAACCAGCUACCACCAAACGUCAUUGAAGUUUGGUGAUGUUUUUUUGAGCUCAUCAACGCUGGGGUCAUGCGAUAACAUGCAACUCUGAAAAAUUGUUCAGUCUGAAUGCUGAACAUAAGGUCUGGAGAGUGUCCAUUUGUAUACACUGAUCAUAUUGAAAAGCAAAGGCUUGCCUAAAAGUGUCACUGCUUCUUGAGCACAUACACUUAGCUUAGAGAGUAGUACUAAGGAGCGAUGGAUCCUGUUGAAAAACAAAGAGUAGGCUACCCUAAAAUCUCAAGAGAAUUUAGAUGAAAACGUCGUAUUCCGUUCAACGAUCUCUCUUCAGUCAAAACUCAAAGCGCUGGGUGUGAGUCAGAUCCAGUAUGGCAGGCCGGAGCUAAAGUGUCUGGAGACCACGCGCACGAGUCUAAGCAGGUCGAUGACAGGCGGGAAUGUCAAGCACACCGGGGCACCUUGUAUUGGUUGAUGGGGGGCCCUGCGGGUGAAGGCCUAGUCCAUCAGCUCCUCCGGCUCUAUGGACCCACCCGCCACCCUGCUCUGCUUGUAAACGGUAUUUAGUGCCACCUCCAUCUCCAAGCAGCGAGCGUCGAGGGUCUCCUUGUCCACCAUCGCGCUGGCGCCGGCUCCGCCCGUGGUCAGCAGCUCGCUGUAGAUAACGUAGUGCCCGGGGAUGCUCUUUGUACACGCCUGGCUGGUGUACUCUGCCAUAGACGCGUCGUGGAACGCUCCUCGCGAUUGCACUGCAAGGACAUCCGUCCACAAAGCGAAUAUUGAUGGAAUGAUGUAUAAGAAGACAUGGAUGGCAGCACACAAAGAAGAGGCACCUCGAAGAAUCGUUGCAUCCUGGAAGAACAGGUGCACUGCUGCCACCAUUAUCCGCGUACCUCCCUGCUACGUUUCUCCUCGUGCGCAGCUCGACGUGCUUGUGGCGCCGUUGCAAUACCGCCGCCGCCCUUACUCUUGUCCGCCAGCAUCAGCAUGUGGAAUGUGUGUGUGUGGCCGGCGACGCGCUCACCCGACGACCCCGGACCUGGUGCGGGGCGCAUGCAUCCUGCUGGACGACGUUGUAGUUAUCGCCGACACCGUCGUAGGCUAUGCCAGGAUCCGGCGGUGGAGGAGCGUGGACGUGAUCGAAGCGCCUAGUAGUCGAGCCGAUGCAGUAGAGCAAUCCGUGGACGCGACGGAUUGCGGAUGGUUCCCUCGGACGACGGCGUCGGCAUCAGCAGCUGGUCGGAGCUGCACCCCAUGGCUUUUUUGUCACGCCUAGAGCGGCAUCCUUGCCGUGCAUGGCCACGCGUAGCAGCGGCCCUCACACUGGACGGCAGCAUCAACUCUCCUCCUUUCAUCCCAACUCCACCCCGCCUCCCACGGCAGCACCGCACAUGUCGUCCUCCGCCGCGGCGAGCGCGUGGCAGCGCUCCCACCGUUGUGCCCUACUGCGGUGCUGCGUGACGGCGUGGAGAACUGCCGCCAUGCACAUGCCCAACGGGGAGCCGCCUCCACACCAGCUUGUUUGUGUCUGCCUGCGCCAUGCUGCAGUGUGCCGCCGUGCUUCUGCGAGGAGCUAGAUCAACUCAUCCAACUGCUGGCGAGUUGGAUGGCUACGGAACUGGAGCCGGCGGCGGACGGCCGAAAUCGCGGCAGUGAUCAACUCGAUGGAGAACAUGCACUCGAUGGUGGCUGUGAAAAUGAACAAUGAACACAGGAAAUAAAGGGAUCCUCUUUUAUAGGCUCGUACGGCGGUGGUGAUGUGCAUGCAGAUUUUGCGGGAGUCUUCUGGACACGAUGAAGGAUUUGACCGGAGGCUUCCAGAUAACAUGGGACACGCUGAAAGAGAUCAAUUAGAAAAAAGAAACUAAUGUCGAGAACCAACGACAAAAGCGGCGCUGCAUGGCUAACGUAGCCAUAUCAUGUAGCAAAUUCUUGAUUGGUCACCAACAAGGAAUAAAACAACAACAGUUUUGCUACGUCUCAGUUAACUUAGACUUCGUUAUAUCUCAGUCGAUGUUAUAUUUCAUUGAUCUUGCAUUAAGAUUCGUACAAAAAUUUCCUUUAAGUUUUUUCUUUUUCUUUUCAUAUACUAUAUUAUUUGAGUGAGACUUGGUUAAGUCUCAGUCGACUGAGACCUAGACACACCCAAACAACAAUAUCUAGCGAAGCAAACUCCUGAUUGCUCAAGCAAAAUACAUGCACUCAGGUUUAUAGAUAGCGAUGGAACAAAGCAGAAACGUCCAGAUGGGCGGUCGAAGCGGCACCGCUGUUUCUGAUGGAAAGACGGGCCUGACAAAGCAACACCAAUUGGACCAGCGAAGCACCGAAAACCAUUAGAAAGGCAGAGAAGCACCGAAAACCAUUAGAAAGCCAGAGAAGCACCGAAGCACAAAGAAUAUGUUGGGCUGCAAAGUCAACCGAUCUAACUGGCCCACCUAUAACAGAAAAUGCUAGGUAUACCAACUGAACAGGUACGCACAUUCAAAAAAAUUCAACCGAAAACCUAGAGACACCACACGUUUCUACACGGCCACAUCCCAAAUUAAUACACGUGCCAUGUAUAGGUUUACCAUAAGGUCAUUUUCAUACAAGUGGAUGAAUCUCAAGGCGAAAACCUUACCUGCAACAGAGGCUUGGGUAUGUAUUUUGAUUUCUGUAGGUCAUAUCUUAACUAGUCUAAAAUGUUGCAAUGCCAUGUCCACAAAUAUUCUUUAAGUCCGUAUACAAUAUAUGAGAUAAUACUUUACAACCUCAACUCCAAAUAUUGUCUCUCUUUUUUUGUCCUUAAUCAAUGGUUAUGUUAUAAUCAGUUUGAUGGAAUGCUACUGAAAAAUAUAAAUGAACAAAUGUUUGAAAAUGAGGUAUUGGAUCUUCCAUACAACCAGGAUGUUGGUGACUACUUAUAGUUCAAGGUGUUUUAUACUACAUUUAUAUUGUGUGAUCUGUUGGAAAUAUGCCCUGGAGGCAAUAAUAAAUGGUUAUUAUUAUAUUUCUUUAUUCAUGAUAAUUGUCUAUUGUUCAUGCUAUAAUUGUGUUAUCCGGAAAUCGUAAUACAUGUGUGUAUACAUAGACCACAACGUGUCCCUAGUAAGCCUCUAGUUGAUUAGCUCGUUGAUCAACAGAUAGUCAUGGUUUCCUGACUAUGGACAUUGGAUGUCAUUGAUAACGGGAUCACAUCAUUAGGAGAAUGAUGUGAUGGACAAGACCCAAUCCUAAGCAUAGCACACAAGAUUGUGUAGUUCGUUUGCUAGAGCUUUUCCAAUGUCAAGUAUCAUUUCCUUAGACCAUGAGAUCAUGCAACUCCCGGAUACCGUAGGAGUGCUUUGGGUGUACCAAACGUCACAACGUAACUGGAUGACUAUAAAGGUGCACUACGGGUAUCUCCGAAAGUGUCUGUUGGGUUGGCACGGAUCGAGACUGGGAUUUGUCACUCCGUAUGACGGAGAGGUAUCUCUGGGCCCACUCGGUAAUGCAUCAUCAUAAUGAGCUCAAUGUGACUAAGGAGUUAGUCACGGGAUCAUGCAUUACGGUACGAGUAAAGUGACUUGCCGGUAACGAGAUUGAACAAGGUAUUGGGAUACCGACGAUCGAAUCUCGGGCAAGUAACGUACCGAUUGACAAAGGGAAUUGUAUACGGGAUUGAUUGAAUCCUCGACAUCGUGGUUCAUCCGAUGAGAUCACCGUGGAACAUGUGGGAGCCAACAUGGGUAUCCAGAUCCCGCUAUUGGUUAUUGACCGGAGAGGCAUCUCGGUCAUGUCUGCAUGUCUCCCGAACCCGUAGGGUCUACACACUUAAGGUUCGGUGACGCUAGGGUUGUAGAGAUAUUAGUAUGGGGAAACCCGAAAGUUGUUCGGAGUCCCGGAUGAGAUCCCGGACGUCACGAGGAGUUCCGGAAUGGUCCGGAGGUGAAGAAUUAUAUAUAGGAAGUCAACUUUCGGCCACCGGGAAUGUUUCGGGGGUCACCGGUAUUGUACCGGACCACCGGAAGGGUCAUGGGGGUCCACCGGGUGGGGCCACCUAUCCCGGAGGGCCCCAUGGGCUGAAGUGGGAAGGGAACCAGCCCUUAGUGGGAUGGGGCGCCCCCCUUGGGCCUCCCCCUGCGCCUAGGGUUGGAAACCCUAGGGGUGGGGGGCGCCCCACUUGACUUGGGGGGGAAGUUUCCCCCCCGGCGGCCACCCCCCUUGUAGAUGGGUUCCAGGGCCGGCGCCCCCCUCCAGGGGGCCUAUAUAAAGGGGGGAGGGAGGGCUGCUGUACCCUAGCCCUUUGGCGCCUCCCUCUCCCCCUGCAACACCUCUCCCUCCCGCUUGCGCUUGGCGAAGCCCUGCCGAGAUCCCCGCUACUUCCACCACCACGCCAUCGUGCUGCUGGAUCUCCAUCAACCUCUCCUUCCCCUUGCUGGAUCAAGAACGUGGAGACGUCGCUGCUCCGUACGUGUGUUGAACACGGAGGUGCCGUCCGUUCGGCACUCGGUCAUCGGUGAUUUCGAUCACGACGAGUACGACUCCAUCAACCCCGUUCACUUGAACGCUUCCGCUCGCGAUCUACAAGGGUAUGUAGAUGCACUCCUUUCCCCUCGUUGCUAGUAUACUCCAUAGAUGGAUCUUGGUGAUGCGCAGGAAAUUUUAAAAUUCUGCUACGAUCCCCAACAGUGGAAUUAUGAGCCAGGCCUAAGCGUAGUUACUAUGCACGAGUAGAACACAAAGCAGUUGUGGGCGUAGAUGUUGCCAAUUCUUCUUGCCGCUACUAGUCUUAUCUUGUGUCGGCGGUAUUGUGGGAUGAAACGGCCCGGACCGACCUUACACGUACGCUUACGUGAGACAGGUUCCACCGACUGACAUGCACUAGUUGCAUAAGGUGGCUAGUGGGUGUCUGUCUCUCCCACUUUAGUCGGAACGGAUUCGAUGAAAAGGGUCCUUAUGAAGGGUAAAUAUAAAUUGGCAUAUCACGUUGUGGUUUUACGUAGGUAAGAAACGUUCUUGCUAGAAACCUAUACAAGCCACGUAAAAACUUGCAACAACAAUUAGAGGACGUCUAACUUGUUUUUGCAGCACGUGCCUUGUGAUGUGAUAUGGCCAGAAGAUGUGAUGAAUGAUAUAUGUGAUGUAUGAGAUUGAUCAUAUUCUUGUAAUAGGAAUUACGACUUACAUGUCGAUGAGUAUGACAACCGGUAGGAGCCAUAGGAGUUGUCUUUAUUUUUGUAUGACCUGCGUGUCAUUGAAUAACGCCAUGUAAAUUACUUUACUUUAUUGCUAAACGCGUUAGCCAUAGAAGUAGAAGUAAUCGUUGGCGUGACAACUUCAUGAAGACACAAUGAUGGAGAUCAUGAUGAUGGAGAUCAUGGUGUCAUGCCGGUGACGAAGAUGAUCAUGACGCCCCGAAGAUGGAGAUCAAAGGAGCAGAAUGAUAUUGGCCAUAUCAUGUCACUAUUUGAUUGCAUGUGAUGUUUAUCAUGUUUUGCAUCUUAUUUGCUUAGAACGACGGUAGUAAGUAAGAUGAUCCCUUAUAAUAAUUUCAAGAAAGUGUUCCCCCUAACUGUGCACCGUUGCGAAGGUUCGUUGUUUCGAAGCACCACGUGAUGAUCGGGUGUGAUAGAUUCUAACGUUCGCAUACAACGGGUGUUGACGAGCCUAGCAUGUACAGACAUGGCCUCGGAACACACGCAAUACACUUAGGUUGACUUGACGAGCCUAGCAUGUACAGACAUGGCCUCGGAACACGGAGGACCGAAAGGUCGAGCAUGAGUCGUAUAGAAGAUACGAUCAACAUGGAGAUGUUCACCGAUCUUGACUAGUCCGUCUCACGUGAUGAUCGGACACGGCCUAGUUAACUCGGAUCAUGUUUCACUUAGAUGACUAGAGGGAUGUCUAUCUGAGUGGGAGUUCAUUCAGUAAUUUGAUUAGAUGAACUUAAUUAUCAUGAACUUAGUCUAAAAUCUUUACAAUAUGUCUUGUAGAUCAAAUGGCCCACGUUGUCCUCAACUUCAACGCGUUCCUAGAGAAAACCAAGCUGAAAGAUGAUGGCAGCAACUAUACGGACUGGGUCCGGAACCUGAGGAUCAUCCUCAUAGCUGCCCAGAAAGAUAAUGUCCUAGAAGCACCGCUAGGUGAAGCACCAAUCCCAGAGAACCAAGACGUUAUGAACGCUUGGCAAUCACGUGCUGAUGAUUACUCCCUCGUUCAGUGCGGCAUGCUUUACAGCUUAGAACCGGGUCUCCAAAAGCGUUUUGAGAAACAUGGAGCAUAUGAGAUGUUCGAAGAGCUGAAAAUGGUUUUCCAUGCUCAUGCCCGGGUCGAGAGAUAUGAAGUCUCCGACAAGUUCUUCAGCUAUAAAAUGGAGGAAAAUAGUUCUGUCAGUGAGCACAUACUCAGAAUGUCUGGGUUACACAACCGCUUGUCUCAGCUGGGAGUUAAUCUCCCGGAUGACGCGGUCAUUGACAGAAUCCUUCAGUCGCUUCCACCGAGCUACAAGAGCUUUGUGAUGAACUUCAAUAUGCAGGGGAUGGAAAAGACCAUUCCUGAGGUAUAUUCAAUGCUGAAAUCAGCGGAGGUAGAUAUCAGAAAGGAACAUCAAGUGUUGAUGGUGAAUAAAACCACUAAGUUCAAGAAAGGCAAGGGUAAGAAGAACUUCAAGAAGGACGGCAAGGGAGUUGCCGCGCCCGGUAAGCCAGUUGCUGGGAAGAAGUCAAGGAAUGGACCCAAGCCUGAGACUGAGUGCUUUUAUUGCAAGGGAAGUGGUCACUGGAAGCGGAAUUGCCCCAAAUACUUAGCGGACAAGAAGGCCGGCAACACCAAAGGUAUAUGUGAUAUACAUGUAAUUGAUGUGUACCUUACCAGUAAUCGUAGUAGCUCCUAGGUAUUUGAUACCGGUGCGGUUGCUCAUAUUUGUAACUCAAAACAGGAACUGCGGAAUAGGCGGAGACUGGCAAAGGACGAGGUGACGAUGCGUGUCGGGAAUGGUUCCAAGGUCGAUGUGAUCGCCGUCGGCACACUACCUCUGCAUUUACCUACGGGAUUAGUUUUAAACCUCAAUAAUUGUUAUUUAGUGCCAGCUUUGAGCAUGAACAUUGUAUCUGGAUCUCGUUUAAUUCGAGAUGGCUACUCAUUUAAAUCCGAGAAUAAUGGUUGUUCUAUUUAUAUGAGAGAUAUGUUUUAUGGUCAUGCCCCGCUGGUCAAUGGUUUAUUCUUGAUGAAUCUCGAACGUGAUGUUACACAUAUUCAUAGUGUGAAUACCAAAAGAUGUAAAGUUGAUAACGAUAGUCUCACAUACUUGUGGCACUGCCGCCUUGGUCACAUUCGUCUCAAGCGCAUGAAGAAGCUCCAUGCAGAUGGACUUUUGGAGUCUCUUGAUUACGAAUCAUUUGACACGUGCGAACCAUGCCUCAUGGGUAAGAUGACCAAGACUCCGUUCUCCAGAACAAUGGAGCGAGCAACCAAUUUAUUUGGAAUCAUACAUAUCGAUGUGUGCGGUCCAAUGAGUGUUGAGGCUCGCGGAGGAUAUCGUUAUGUUCUCACUCUCACUGAUGACUUAAGUAGAUAUGGGUAUGUCUACCUAAUGAAACACAAGUCUGAAACCUUUGAAAAGUUCAAGGAAUUUCAGAAUGAGGUUGAGAAUCAACAUGACAGGAAAAUAAAGUUCUUACGAUCAGAUCGUGGUGGAGAAUAUUUAAGUCACGAAUUUGGUACGCACUUAAAGAAAUGUGGAAUCGUUUCACAACUCACGCCGCCUGGAACACCUCAGCGAAAUGGCGUGUCCGAACGUCGUAAUCGCACUCUAUUGGAUAUGGUGCGAUCUAUGAUGUCUCUUACCGAUCUACCGCUCUCAUUUUGGGGCUAUGCUUUAGAGACGGCCGCAUUCACUUUAAUAGGUCUCCGUCGAAAUCCGUUGAGAUGACACCGUAUGAAUUAUGGUUUGGGAAGAAACCUAAGCUGUCGUUUCUAAAAGUUUGGGGAUGCGAUGCUUAUGUCAAGAAACUUCAACCUGAAAAGCUCGAACCCAAGUCGGAAAAAUGCGUCUUCAUAGGAUACCCCAAGGAAACUAUUGGGUAUACCUUCUACCUCAGAUCCGAAGGCAAGAUCUUUGUUGCCAAGAACGGGUCCUUUCUGGAGAAAGAGUUUCUCUCGAAAGAAUUGAGUGGGAGGAAAGUGGAACUUGAUGAGGUGAUAGUCACCCCUUCCGAACCGGAAAGUAGCGCAGCGCGGGAAGAUGUUCCUGUGGUGCCUACACCGACUGGGGAGGAAGUUAAUGAUGAUGAUCAUGAAGCUUCGGAUCAAGUUACUGCUGAACUUCGUAGGUCCACAAGGACACGUUCCGCACCAGAGUGGUACGGCAACCCUUUCCUGUAAAUCAUGUUGUUAGACAACGGUGAACCUUCGAACUAUGAAGAAGCGAUGGCGUGCCCGGAUUUCGACAAAUGGCUAGAAGCCAUGAAAUCCGAGAUAGGAUCCAUGUAUGAAAACGAAGUAUGGACUUUGACUGACUUGCCCGAUGAUCGGCGAGCCAUAGAAAAUAAAUGGACCUUUAAGAAGAAGACAGACGCGGAUGGUAACGUGACCAUCUAUAAGGCUCGACUUGUCGCUAAGGGUUAUCGACAAGUUCAAGGGGUUGACUACGAUGAGACUUUCUCACCCGUAGCGAAGCUGAAGUCCGUCCGAAUCAUGUUAGCAAUUGCCGCAUUCUAUGAUUAUGAGAUAUGGCAAAUGGACGUCAAAACGGCAUUCCUUAACGGCUUUCUUAAGGAAGAAUUGUAUAUGAUGCAGCCGGAAGGUUUUGUCGAUCCUAAGAAUGCUAACAAGGUAUGCAAGCUCCAACGCUCUAUCUAUGGACUGGUGCAAGCAUCUCGGAGUUGGAACAUUUGUUUUGAUGAGAUGAUCAAAGCGUUUGGGUUUACACAGACUUAUGGAGAAGGCUGUGUUUACAAGAAAGUGAGUGGGAGCUCUGUAGCAUUUCUCUUAUUAUAUGUGGAUGACAUACUAUUGAUGGGAAAUGAUAUAGAAUUCUUGGAAAGUAUAAAGGCCUACUUGAAUAAGUGUUUUUCAAUGAAGGACCUUGGAGAAGCUGCUUAUAUAUUAGGCAUGAAGAUCUAUAGAGAUAGAUCAAGACGCCUCAUUGCUCUUUCACAGAGUACGUACCUUGACAAGAUAUUGAAGAAGUUCAAUAUGGAUCAGUCCAAGAAGGGGUUCUUGCCUGUAUUGCAAGGUGUGCAAUUGAGCACGGCUCAAUGCCCGACCACGGCAGAAGAUAGAGAAAAGAUGAGUGUCAUCCCCUAUGCCUCGGCCAUAGGGUCUAUUAUGUAUGCCAUGCUGUGUACCAGACCUGAUGUAAACCUUGUCGUAAGUUUGGUAGGAAGGUACCAAAGUAAUCCCGGCAUGGAACACCGGACAACGAUCAAGAAUAUCCUGAAGUACCUGAAGAGGACUAAGGAUAUGUUUCUCGUUUAUGGAGGUGACGAAGAGCUCGUCGUAAAGGGUUACGUCGACGCUAGCUUCGACACAGAUCUGGAUGACUCGAAGUCACAAACCGGAUACGUGUAUAUUUUGAAUGGAGGGGCAGUAAGCUGGUGCAGUUGCAAGCAAAGCGUCGUGGCGGGAUCUAAAUGUGAAGCGGAGUACAUGGCAGCCUCAGAGGCAGCGCAAGAAGCAGUCUGGAUGAAGGAGUUCAUUACCGACCUAGGGGUGAUUCCCAAUGCGUCGGGCCCGAUGACUCUCUUUUGUGACAACACUGGAGCUAUUGCCCUUGCCAAGGAGCCCAGGUUUCACAGGAAGACCAGGCAUAUCAAGCGUCGCUUCAACUCCAUUCGUGAAAGUGUUCAAAAUGGAGACAUAGAUAUUUGUAAAGUGCAUACGGACAUGAAUGUAGCAGAUCCGUUGACUAAACCUCUCCCUAGAGCAAAACAUGAUCAACACCAGAACGCUAUGGGUGUUCGAUUCAUCACAAUGUAACUAGAUUAUUGACUCUAGUGCAAGUGGGAGACUGUUGGAAAUAUGCCCUAGAGGCAAUAAUAAAUGGUUAUUAUUAUACUUAUUUGUUCAUGAUAAUUGUCUAUUGUUCAUGCUAUAAUUGUGUUAUCCGGAAAUUGUAAUACAUGUGUGAAUACAUAGACCACAACGUGUCCCUAGUAGGCCUCUAGUUGACUAGCUCGUUGAUCAACAGAUAGUCAUGGUUUCCUGACUAUGGACAUUGGAUGUCAUUGAUAACGGGAUCACAUCAUUAGGAGAAUGAUGUGAUGGACAAGACCCAAUCCUAAGCAUAGCAGAAAAGAUUGUGUAGUUCGUUUGCAAGAGCUUUUCCAAUGUCAAGUAUCAUUUCCUUAGACCAUGAGAUCGUGCAACUCCCGGAUACCGUAGGAGUGCUUUGGGUGUACCAAACAUCACAACGUAACUGGGUGACUAUAAAGGUGCACUACGGGUAUCUCCGAAAGUGUCUGUUGGGUUGGCACGGAUCGAGACUGGGAUUUGUCACUCCGUAUGACGGAGAGGUAUCUCUGGGCCCACUCGGUAAUGCAUCAUCAUAAUGAGCUCAAUGUGACUAAGGAGUUAGUCACGGGAUCAUGCAUUACGGUACGAGUAAAGUGACUUGCCGGUAACGAGAUUGAACAAGGUAUUGGGAUACCGACGAUCGAAUCUCGGGCAAGUAACGUACCGAUUGACAAAGGGAGUUGUAUACGGGAUUGAUUGAAUCCUCGACAUCGUGGUUCAUCUGAUGAAAUCAUCAUGGAACAUGUGGGAGCCAACAUGGGUAUCCAGAUCCCGCUGUUGGUUAUUGACCGGAGAGGCGUCUCGGUCAUGUCUGCAUGUCUCCCGAACCCGUAGGGUCUACACACUUAAGGUUCGGUGACGCUAGGGUUGUAGAGAUAUUAGUAUGGGGAAACCCAAAAGUUGUUCGGAGUCCCGGAUGAGAUCCCGGACGUCAGGAGGAGUUCCGGAAUGGUCCGGAGGUGAAGAAUUAUAUAUAGGAAGUCAAGUUUCGGCCACCGGGAAAGUUUCGGGGGUCACCGGUAUUGUACCGGGACCAGCGGAAGGGUCACGGGGGUCCACCGGGUGGGGCCACCUAUCUCGGAGGGCCCCAUGGGCUGAAGUGGGAAGGGAACCAGCCCUUAGUGGGCUGGGGCGCCCCCCUUGGGCCUCCCCCUGCGCCUAGGGUUGGAAACCCUAGGGGUGGGGGGCGCCCCACUUGACUUGGGGGGAAGUUUCCCCCCCUGGCCGCCGGCCCCCCUUGUAGAUGGGUUCCAGGGCCGGCACCCCCCUCCAGGGGGCCUAUAUAAAGGGGGGGAGGGAGGGUUGCUGUACCCUAGCCCUCUGGCGCCUCCCUCUCCCCUGCAACACCUCUCCCUCCCGCUAGCGCUUGGCGAAGCCCUGCCGAGAUCCCCGCUACUUCCACCACCACGCCGUCGUGCUGCUGGAUCUCCAUCAACCUCUCCUUCCCCCUUGCUAGAUCAAGAAGGAGGAGACGUCGCUGCUCCGUACGUGUGUUGAACACGGAGGUGCUGUCCGUUCGGCACUCGGUCAUCGGUGAUUUGGAUCACGACGAGUACGACUCCAUCAACCCCAUUCACUUGAACGCUUCUGCUCGCGAUCUACAAGGGUAUGUAGAUGCACUCCUUUCCCCUCGUUGCUAUUAUACUCCAUAGAUGGAUCUUGGUGAUGAGUAGGAAAUUUUAAAAUUCUGCUACGAUCCCCAACAUGAUCCAUGCCUAAUAUUCAGAAAUUUUACAUCACUUGCAAUUAUAUUCCAGAAUAAUAAUACUGCAGACUUCUACUUCUUAAGCACUGUGUUGGUUUUCCCUUGAAGAGGAAAGGGUGAUGGAGCAAAGUAGCAUAAGUAUUUCCCUUAGUUUUUGAGAACCAAGGUAUCAAUCCAGUAGGAGGCCACACACGAGUCACUCGCACCUACACAAACAAAUAAAUCCUUGCAACCAACGCGAUAAGGGGUUGUCAAUCCCUACACGGUCACUUACGAGAGUGAGAUCUGAUAGAUAUGAUAAGAUAAUAUUUUUUGUAUUUUUAUGGUAAAGAUGCAAAGUAAAAUCGAAGCAAAAUAAAAGACAAUGGAAAUAGCUUGUUGAUGGGAGAUUGAUAUGAUGGAAAAUAGACCCGGGGGCCAUAGGUUUCACUAGUGGCUUCUCUCAAGAGCAUAAGUAUUACGGUGGCUGAACAAAUUACUGUUGAGCAAUUGAAAGAAUUGAGCAUAGUUAUGAGAAUAUCUAGGUAUGAUCAUGUAUAUAGGCAUCACGUCCGAGACAACUAGAUCGACUCCUGCCUGCAUCUACUACUAUUACUCCACACAUCGACCGCUAUCGAGCAUGCAUCUAGAGUAUUAAGUUCAUAAGAACAGAGUAACGCUUUAAGCAAGAUGACAUGAUGUAGAGGGAUAAACUCAUGCAAUAUGAUAUAAACCCCAUCUUGUUAUCCUCGAUGGCAACAAUAAAUACGUGCCAUGCUGCCCCUACUGUCACUGGGAAAGGACAAUGCAAGAUUGAACCCAAAGCUAAGCACUUCUCCCAUUGUAAGAAAAAUCAAUCUAGUAGGCCAAACCAAACUGAUAAUUCGAAGAGACUUGCAAAGAUAACCGAUCAUACAUAAAAGAAUUCAGAGAAGAUUCAAAUAUUGUUCAUAGAUAAACUUGAUCAUAAACCCACAAUUUAUCGUUAUCAACAAACACACCGCAAAAGAAUUUUACAUCGAAUAGAUCUCCACGAGAGAGGGGGAGAACAUUGUAUUGAGAUCCAAAAAGAGAGAAGAAGCCAUGUAGCUAAUAACUAUGGACCAGAAGGUCUGAGGUAAACUACUCACACAUCAUCGGAGAGGCUAUGGUGUUGAUGUAGAAGCCCUCCGUGAUCGAUGCCCCCCUCCGGCGGAGCUCCGGAACGGGCCCCAAGAUGGGAUCUCACGAGUACAGAAGGUUGCGGCGGUGGAAUUAGGUUUUUGGCUCCGUAUCUGGUAGUUUGGGGGUACGUAGGUAUAUAUAGGAGGAAGGAGGUGGAGGAACAGGGGGCCCACGAGGGUGGAGGGCGCGCCUGGGGGGGUAGGCGCGCCCCCCUACCUCGUGCUCUCCUGGUUGAUGUCUUGACGUAGGGUCCAAGUCCUCUGGAUCACGUUCGUUCCAAAAAUCACGUUCCCGAAGGUUUCAUUCCGUUUGGACUCCGUUUGAUAUUCUUUUCUGCGAAACUCCGAAAUAGGCAAAAAAACAACAAUUCUGGGUUGGGCCUCUGGUUAAUAGGUUAGUCCCAAAAAUAAUAUAAAAGUGUAUAAUAAAGCCCAAUAAUGUCCAAAAUAGAAUAUAAUUUAGCAUGGAACAAUAAAAAAUUAUAGAUCCGUUGGAGACGUAUCACAGACACAGUGUUGCUCCUAUAGUACCAGGAGACAAUAUAAGUGGUGAAGUAGAGAGGAGCAACAGUUAAUGAGCAUGUGUGUUUUCUCAAUUGUUAUUACUUGUUAACUUUCUUAACUAGACGAAUAAAAUUAAGUUGAUAUUAUGCUAUAUAAAUUGGGUGUCCCUAUUUACUGAAAAUGAUUGUCGUAUAUGGAAACAUACAAUUAUAGGUCCUCCAUUGUAUACAGUAUGAUGAACAUAUAACAAAAUUAUAUCUUGACGAACAAAAUAGCUGGUCAAGGAUAUUUGACUCGAAUGGAUACUUGAUCAACGUGACCAACUACAUCCUUAAUAGAUAUUAGCCAGAUUGUCGGUGUACAAAAGAAGGGGCGCAGCUUUGUACCCCUUUACCUGUGUACGGGCAGUCGGAGCCGCGCCCACGGUCACACCAAGCAGAGCAGGGGAGGUGAGCCAAGGUAAGACCGAAGCCCAAGAUAACCAGAGCAACGCCAAGGCCAAGACCACAAAGAGUAGAGGGACGAAGCAGAUUCCCCCGGCAAGACCCUUGCCGGGACAGCUCGCCCCACACCAACAGAGCGAGCCACCCUUGAGCCCACGGUCCCCAACACCAUCAUCCACGUGGAGCCAGGAAUCGGGAGGCACCUCUGUGGUGGCAUGCAGAUCUUUGUGAAGACAUAUUCAAGAUCAGAUGAGGAUUAGAGGACAACGAUCCUCGGCAAGAUCCUUACCGAGGAGAGCCACAAGACCCCCGGCAAGAUUCUUGCCGGGGACGUCUGCACGCCAUGGCAAGACCCUUGCCGGGCCCCCCCGGCAAGGCUCUCGCCAAAGACGCCAACAGGGCCACUGCGAGGCCCGCACCAGCCAAGUCUCCACCGCCGUUCGCAUGCAGCUGCCAGCCCAAACCAGCUGGGCAGGCACCUGCAUGGCAACAUGCAGCUUCCAGGCCAACCCAGCAAGCGCCUGCAUGGCGGCAUGCAGAUCUUCGUGAAGACCCUACCACCGCGCCACCUCAGCUGCCUGCCUGCCUACAUGGCGCCGCACGCAUCGCUGGCUAGGGCGCGUGUCGAAGCGAGGACGAGCGGCGACAGACGGGACGGACCUUGCCCCCGUCCCCGAUAAAGCUAGGGGAUACCUCAGCUACGGAUUAAAUGUGCGCCUUUACACCUCCUGUAUGCCACUGUGGCAGCCCCUUUCGCCUAUAAAAGGAGGCCCAUGGCAUACUGGAGAAGGAUUCGGCUCUUUGGAACCACGCACUCACCACAGCUAGUUCGAGAGCUCAAGAACUCUCUGAAAUACACCCACCAAAGCAGGACUAGGGUUUUACGCAUCCUCGCGGCCCGAACCUGGGUAAACGAUCCUCGUGCAGGUUACUAAUCCUACUCUUCUCGCAACCCCGCGCCCCGGCAACCGUAGUAGGGAUUCUUGUGACCCCAUAGGUGUCGUUCCACACCGACAUCUUUGGCGCGCCAGGUAGGGGCCGCAAUUGUGAGAAUCUAGUCUAGUAGUUAGCCUAGCAGCUCUUCGUCGCCAUGGCUCCCAAGAAGAAUACGGCCACGGCGAUCGGCUUGUUGGGAGCCGAGCGGCCCGUGCUGGUGCGAACGAGCAGUGGACCGGUCGCGGACAGGACCCGGGCCACGGUCCGCAAGCACCAGCAUCGCCCUGGCAUUCAGAGCCUGGCGAGCGGCGUCGUUCGCGCGCCAGACAACCGGCCGCACGUCGCCAGAUCCAAAGACGGAGUUGGGCCCCCCGCAGGCGGCGCGGGGCCCUCCAGGGGUGUCGUUGUGCCACCUCCGGGUGGUGCAGCGACCUCCAAGACGCCCACACCAGCGACCACUGCGCGCUCUUCCCAUGGUGUGCGCGCCGAGCAGCGUCAUCAUGCUGGUGACCCUGGGCACCGCCGUUGGAAGAGCCCUGUGCGUCAUCCGCGGGAUGAAGGGGUUCAGCAUCCCGCCGAAGGGCUGGCAAAAAUGGCACGCAGCCGCUGGCUCGUGACAGAGCUCCUUCUAACUCAGUUAGAAGUCAAAGCGCGCCGCGAUCCACGCAGCUGUCGCCGCCGCCCACGCCAGCAGAAGCUUUGGCGCGCGCGCAGCUGCUCCUCGACUUCCCUCCUGCUGCAGAGAAGCUCGACGAGUGGAGGGCCACCAUCCGGAGCCUCGUCGCCGUCGCCAACAAAGACGAUCCGCGACCGGCGGGGCCCUCGGGUUAGUACUCCACUGAGCCGCCACGUCCUGGCGCUGGGAGGACCGGGCGAGCUGCGGCCACGGUGCACUCUCCUCCUCCUCGCCAGCCGGCACGGGCGUCGGCCCGUCGUGACGACGCUUGUGAUACCAUAUCCAUAGCGUCAUCCGACCCGCGGACCCCCCGCGACUAGUGCCAAGUUCUUCGAAAACGAUCUCACAAAGAUUCUCGGACCACCAUCGCGCGCCGGCGCGAUAUACGCCACCAGUCGGACAAGCGUGCGGGACCCGCUAUGGACCGCCCAGCACCGGGGGCUCCGGCAGCCUACCUUACGAGGUGGGCUGCCCGGCCUUUCCCGUGAGCUGCGGCAGUUCCAGUGGCCGUCCCACCGCACGUUCAAGCCUGACGUCGGCGAGAAGUACACUGGCAAGACCCAUCCGUCAAAGUUCCUCAGCAUCUACACCUUCGCAAUGCAGGCUGCCGGAGCUCGCGACGACAAGGUUUGAUCUGAUCCGUACCGACUCGAAGCGCAGCGGAAGAAGAGUCGGUGUAGAUCAUCGGUGCAGAUCCCCGCAGCUAGGAUUUACAACCUCCCAACCGUGAGGAUGUACUCCCUCUCCGGAUAGCCCUUCGGGAGGCGGUCGGACAGUCCCCAGGACAAUGUCGCGGACAGCCCUUCGGGAGGACCCUCGAAACUCGGAUGGAGACUCGGACAGCCCUUCGGGAGGACACUCGAAUAGCCCCUCGGGCAAAAGAUCGAAACUACAAUCUCUCUACGGGGUUGCACACAUACGGUGUCAGCUAUCCGGCAGGGCUUCGCCAUCCAGAACUAGUUCCUGCCGGAACCCAGACAGCCUUACGGCUCUACGAAACUCUUUUCGUGGGAGGGAGAGAAGAAGCCAGAUAAUGCAUGGCAUGUGUAUGAGAGCAAGCGAUGAGCUUUGGGCUGCCCACUCCUCCUCUAUUUAUAGGAAAGCCAAGGGGUAGGGAUGGCUCACAAAAACCCAAAAUGCCCAUGCAAAUGUCACACAUGAAGGGCAUAAUGGGGAGUGAAGUGGAGCUCCAUGGAGCCCCACACAUGUGGCCGGCCAACCCCCUUGGGGGACCCCCAUGAGGAGCAUGCUUGGCCCCCAAGCCCUUCUAGAAGCCUUUUGGAGAUAUCCCAAAAGGUGACUCACCAUAAAAUAUCCCAAAAAGCACUUUCACUAUUCACGACGACAUUUUUCAGCGUCUGUUCGAACUGAAAAUAUUUAUGUGGGCUUAGAACAUUUCCAGUACCCACCAAAAUUAUUUUCAACGCGUUCCGAAACAAUUCCAGUUUAGUGAUUUUCAUCUGCGAAAAGCAUCUGAAGUGGCUCCGGCAGGUCCGGAACAUUUCCGGUUUUUAUCUCAGAAAAUUCCAAAAAGCUUCCAGAUUGAUUCUGGCAUCCUCCAAGAAUUAUCAGGCAUGUGCCGAAACCAAUUUGACUUAAUGGUGUAUCCCGAAACAACUUUUCGGUAUCAUCGAAACUUAUCUGAUGACCUCUCUCUGCGGUACGAUUCCGCUGUCCGAAACUUUUCGGUGUCCGAAACUUUUUCGGUGAUUUUCUCUCAGAAUCCCUGUCUAGUAUUCAGCAGAUAGAUGACCCUUAAGCGUGUGACCCUAUAGGUUCGGUGAAGUAUAGACAUGACCUGGAACCCCUUCCGAUCAAUGAUCAACAUCGGAGCCGUGGACACCCAUAUUGACCCCUAUACCCACACGAAUGAAUAUUCGAGUGAACCUCCAGUUGCAGUGAGCUAUUCCUGUUGCUUCGCGAUAUGUCACAAACACCCGAGGUGAGAUUUAUUGCAUGCCCAUGGACGAACAAUUUGUCCACCAUGCAAGUUACCUCGUUACUGGUUUUGUUCUCUUUUCUCGUUUCUGUGUUCCGGCAUCCCAGUGAUCAAAUCACAAUGUGUCUGGCCAGACGAUGAUGGAUACCGUUACACCGAGACGGCCCGAGUAUAUCUCUCCAUCAUCGGAGGAGCAAAUCCCAAUCUUGAGCUAUCUUGUUACUUCCUAUACUUUUCCGUGAACCCGAAAGCUGCCGUAAUAGCCACCCAGUUACGGAUAACGUUUAACAAACCCCAAAGUUCACGAAGCAAGCACGAAGGAACUUGAUACUCUCAUGGUCUAAGGAAUUAUGCAAACAUUAACUAUCUCAAUGAUAUUAACCAUAAACUUGUGACGAAGGUAUCUCAUAGCAUAACAUCAAUCCGGGUUGAUUCAACACAAGCGUUCUACCAAACUUGUGCCCUCAAAAUUGCCGGCAUAGUCAUGCCCAUGAUCAGGAAACAGGAUCAUCAUGCAUUACUUGAGCUAGUCUUAGAGGCAAGACUAGGAACAUAUUUUACCGUUUUUUAUACCACACGUGCAUAUGAGUUCCCUCCGAGCCUCGUGGAUAUUGUAGACUCGAGAAUCAUUGCAGUUAUAGCAUGGAUCAUAAACAUUCAUUACAAACUUGGAGAUACAAAAUAACUGUUAUUACUGCCUCUAGGGCAUAUCUCCUACACUCAACUCCAAAUAUUGUCUCUGUUUUUGUCUUUCAUAUAUAUUUAAUCAACGGGUGAUGUUAUAGUCAGUUUGAUGGGAUGCUACUGAAAAAAAUAAAUGAAAUUUUUUAUGAAAAUGAGGUAUUGGAUCUUCCAUACAACCAGGAUGUUGGUGACUACUUACAAUUCAAGGUAUUUUAUGCUACAUUUACAUCUUGUAAUCCAUGCCUAAUAUUUAGAAAUUUUACAUCACUUGCAAUUAUAUUCCAGAAUAAUAAUACUGCAGACACAGUGUUGCUCCUAUAGUACCAGGUGACAAUAAAAGUGGUGAAGUAGAGAUGAGCAAGAGUUAAUGAGCAUGUGUGUUUUUCUCAAUUGUUUCUACUUGUUAACUUUCUUAACUAGACGAAUAAAAUUAAGCUGAUAUUAUGCUAUAUAAACUGGGUGUCCCUAUUUACUGAAAAUGAUUGUGGAAUAUGCAAACAUACAGUUAUAGGUCCUCCAUUCUUUACAAUAUGAUGAACAUAUAACAAAAUUAUAUCUUGACGAACACAAUAGCUGGUCAAGGAUAUUUGACUUGAAUGGCUACUUGAUCAACGUGACCAACUACAUCCUUAAUAGAUAUUAGUCAGAUCAACAGCUAACGAAGUACUAAAUUGUGAAUGUUCAUCACAUACGUGUCUACAACCCCUAAUAAAUUCAGAUUAAUAUAUGUAAUACAAAAAGAGAAACAAAAAAGAGAAAUUGAACAUGAAUAGUGUUAAAAGGACACUAUUCACAUCUGGAUUUCUGUUUGUGUAUUUCAUAUUUUGAUCUGAAUUUUUUAGGGCAUGUGCACAUAUACGUGACGAACACUAAAAAGAAAAUCAAAAUAUUUUAACACAUCUAAAGUUGAACUUGUCGACCUUGUAUCAUGUUAUCACAUGAAUGAUGGUAUCACAUGAUAUUCUCCCUAGUAUCAGCAUACAAGUAUACAAAAAUGUCGUUGUUUAUUGAACAUAAAUUGUCGAUGUUUUCGUAGCUCGUCCUGAACAAAAAUUUACGUGCUUGAUGAUCGCAGUCAUGUUUGGGAUGAGAGAGAUAGACAUCGAGUUUUUGUAGCGCCAACUUAAGAACCAUUAGUUGCCCUUGAAGACGAGGUAAUUUACUGUAUCCUAAUGCUUCUGUAUUUUCAUUUAUGUAGAACAUAUAUGAACCAGUCCAAAAUGGUGCGUGCCAUGUCCGCAAAGUAUUCUUUAAGUCCAUAUACAAUAUAUGAGAUAAUACUUUAUAGCCUCAAGUCCAAAUAUUGUCUCUGUUUUGACAUAUAUAUAUAUAUAUAUAUAUAUAUNNNNNNNNNNNNNNNNNNNNNNNNNNNNNNNNNNNNNNNNNNNNNNNNNNNNNNNNNNNNNNNNNNNNNNNNNNNNNNNNNNNNNNNNNNNNNNNNNNNNNNNNNNNNNNNNNNNNNNNNNNNNNNNNNNNNNNNNNNNNNNNNNNNNNNNNNNNNNNNNNNNNNNNNNNNNNNNNNNNNNNNNNNNNNNNNNNNNNNNNNNNNNNNNNNNNNNNNNNNNNNNNNNNNNNNNNNNNNNNNNNNNNNNNNNNNNNNNNNNNNNNNNNNNNNNNNNNNNNNNNNNNNNNNNNNNNNNNNNNNNNNNNNNNNNNNNNNNNNNNNNNNNNNNNNNNNNNNNNNNNNNNNNNNNNNNNNNNNNNNNNNNNNNNNNNNNNNNNNNNNNNNNNNNNNNNNNNNNNNNNNNNNNNNNNNNNNNNNNNNNNNNNNNNNNNNNNNNNNNNNNNNNNNNNNNNNNNNNNNNNNNNNNNNNNNNNNNNNNNNNNNNNNNNNNNNNNNNNNNNNNNNNNNNNNNNNNNNNNNNNNNNNNNNNNNNNNNNNNNNNNNNNNNNNNNNNNNNNNNNNNNNNNNNNNNNNNNNNNNNNNNNNNNNNNNNNNNNNNNNNNNNNNNNNNNNNNNNNNNNNNNNNNNNNNNNNNNNNNNNNNNNNNNNNNNNNNNNNNNNNNNNNNNNNNNNNNNGGUAUUGGAUCCUCCAUACAACCAGGAUGUUGGUGACUACUUACAGUUCAAGGUAUUUUAUGCUACAUUUAUAUCGUGUGAUCCAUGCCUAAUAUUCACAAAUUUUACAUCACUUGGAAUUAUAUUCCAGAAUAAUAAUACUGCAGACACAGUGUUGCUCCUAUAGCACCAGGUUAUAAUAUAAGUGAUGAAGUAGAGAGGAGCAAGAGUUAAUGAGCAUGUCAGUUUUUCUCAAUUGUUUCUACGUGUUAGCUUUCUUCACUAGACGAAUAAAAUUAAGAUAAUAUUAUGCUAUAUAAAUUGGGUGUCCCUAUUUACUGAAAAUGAUUGUCGAAAAUGGCAACGUACAAUUAAGAUAAUAUUGUCGAAAAUGGCAACGUUUGGGAUGAGAGAGAUAGACAUCGAGUUUUUGUAGCGUCAGCUUACAAACCAUUAGUUGCCCCUAAAAACAAGGUAAUUUACUGUAUCCUAAUGCUUACUAGCGAACCCGGCGCGGCGGCACGCCGCGCCUGUUAAUAGGGGGGUAUUGUAUGUAUUGGAAUAUCUUGCAUGUACACUCUUUUCAUCACAUGGCAAUUAUAGGGAAAAAGCUGCAUUGUAACCAUCCCACAAGGCAAUUAAAGAGAAAAGUUUUGCCUUCAUAACUAUCUUAUGAUGGCAUACAACUUAGAUGGAAAGAAGACACACUAUUACAUUCCGGAGAAGAUUCUCUUAUUGUGACUAAACAUGACGUGCUGAAAGGAAACUAACACGACGGGAACUAGCACGGUGGGAAGACACACAAGAUACCAAAAGAGUUCAAACGUGAGUACAAAUGGCAUUGGAGCUUGAAAUCAAAUCAUCCUGGUAUAUACCCACCGUGAGGUUAGGACCAAUAAUGAAAUGAACCAAGAUAUACACUACUGUGUAGACAUCAAGCAUGCAUCGUACUUGUUCCCAGAUCGAACAACCUAGCUCUCAUGUUUGGCCUCCUCCUAAGGUUGUUUCGUCUAUAGUCCUAGUACUUCCUUUUAUCAAGCAUGCAAGCAAUAGCUCAUGAGCUUCUCAAGACCGAGUCCCAAAUCAGCAACCUCUAUAUUUUUUUCCUUCUUCACCCAAAACAAUCAGCCUUAGCUCGGGAACAUUUACAAAAGGAACAAAAAUCCUGGUUGGGAGUCAUAUAGCGCUUUGUUAUUAGCACUUUGUAUCUCCGAAAAAAUAUAAGAUGUAACAUAAGAACCUCAUCUAUCAGCCUUUAAACCGUAGAAAAUUUACGUGAAUGUGAAAUUUAAAAGACAUUCUCGUUUUGGAUUGCCCAUGCAGUUUGUAACUGUGGUUGUGGUAAUUGACACAAAAGAUCAGAUAUAUUCAAGGAUCCUAACUGAACGGAAG
rnacentral:lncRNA from 1 species